ACGCUCGACACCUACGGGAGGUAGCAGUGGGGAAUAUUGCACAAUGGGGGAAACCCUGAUGCAGCGACGCCGCGUGAGUGAAGAAGUAUUUCGGUAUGUAAAGCUCUAUCAGCAGGGAAGAAAAUGACGGUACCUGAGUAAGAAGCCCCGGCUAACUACGUGCCAACAGCCGCGGUAAUCUGAGCGGGCUGGCAAGGC
rnacentral:rRNA from 1 species